AACGUACGCUGGCGGCACGCUUAACACAUGCAAGUCGAACGAAGUAGCAAUACUUAGUGGCAGACGGGUGAGUAACAUGUGGGUAUCUGCCCUUUGGCCUGGAAUAACACGAGGAAACUUGUGCUAAUACCGGAUAAGUCUUUACGGAGAAAGCUUUAUGCACCAUUGGAUGAGCCUGCACUUGAUUAGUUUGUUGGUGGGGUAAUGGCCUACCAAGACUGUGAUCAAUAGCUGAUUUGAGAGGAUGAUCAGCCACAUUGGGACUGAGACACGGCCCAAACUCCUACGGGAGGCAGCAGUGGGGAAUCUUGCACAAUGGAGGAAACUCUGAUGCAGCGAUGCCGCGUGAGUGAAGAAGGCCCUUGGGUUGUAAAGCUCUUUCGUCGGGGAAGAAAAUGACUGUACCCGAAUAAGAAGGUCCGGCUAACUUCGUGCCAGCAGCCGCGGUAAUACGAAGGGACCUAGCGUAGUUCGGAAUUACUGGGCUUAAAGAGUUCGUAGGUGGUUGAAAAAGUUAGUGGUGAAAUCCCAGAGCUUAACUCUGGAACUGCCAUUAAAACUUUUCAGCUAGAGUAUGAUAGAGGAAAGCAGAAUUUCUAGUGUAGAGGUGAAAUUCGUAGAUAUUAGAAAGAAUACCAAUUGCGAAGGCAGCUUUCUGGAUCAUUACUGACACUGAGGAACGAAAGCAUGGGUAGCGAAGAGGAUUAGAUACCCUCGUAGUCCAUGCCGUAAACGAUGUGUGUUAGACGUUGGAAAUUUAUUUUCAGUGUCGCAGCGAAAGCGAUAAACACACCGCCUGGGGAGUACGACCGCAAGGUUAAAACUCAAAUGAAUUGACGGGGACCCGCACAAGUAGUGGAGCAUGUGGUUUAAUUCGAAGAUACGCGCAGAACCUUACCAACACUUGACAUGUUCGUCGCGACUCUAAGAGAUUAGAGUUUUCGGUUCGGCCGGACGAAACACAGGUGCUGCAUGGCUGUCGUCAGCUCGUGUCGUGAGAUGUUGGGUUAAGUCCCGCAACGAGCGCAACCCUCACUUUUAGUUGCCAUCAUUAAGUUGGGCACUCUGAAAGAACUGCCAGUGAUAAGCUGGAGGAAGGUGGGGAUGACGUCAAGUCCUCAUGGCCCUUACGUGUUGGGCUACACACGCGCUACAAUGGUAUCUACAACAGGAAGCAAGACUGCGAGGUCAAGCAAAUCCUUAAAAGAUACCUCAGUUCGGAUUGCACUCUGCAACUCGAGUGCAUGAAGCUGGAAUUACUAGUAAUCGUGGAUCAGCGUGCCACGGUGAAUGCGUUCCCGGGUCU
rnacentral:rRNA from 1 species